rnacentral:lncRNA from 1 species
GCGCGUCUCUACAUCCUUGGAUGUGCCACCUCAUUUAAUGAGGUUGAUCCAACGUGCCAGAUCUUUUUCCAUUUUCUAUUUUCUGAUUUAAUUUCUUUUUAUUUUCUUUUAUUUCCUUUUAUUUCAAAAAUUCAUAUCUCUUCCAUUUUAAUUCCAAAAAAUAUGGGACCAAUUGUAUUAUUUCCCUUUUUAAUUCUAGUUUCUGAAAAUGAUU